rnacentral:rRNA from 1 species
CCUACGGGAGGCAGCAGUGAGGAAUAUUGGUCAAUGGGCGGGAGCCUGAACCAGCCAAGUCGCGUGAGGGAAGACGGUCCUAUGGAUUGUAAACCUCUUUAGGCGGGGAGCAAUGCCGGGCACGUGUGCCCGGGGGGAGAGUACCCGCAGAAUAAGCAUCGGCUAACUCCGUGCCAGCAGCGGCGGUAAUACGGAGGAUGCGAGCGUUAUCCGGUUUUAUUGGGUUUAAAGGGUGCGUAGGCGGAUUUUUAAGUCAGCGGUAAAAUGUGCGGGCUCAACCCGGGCCGGCCGUUGAAACUGGGGAGCUUGAGUGGGCGAGAAGUAUGCGGAAUGCGUGGUGUAGCGGUGAAAUGCAUAGAUAUCACGCAGAACUCCGAUUGCGAAGGCAGCAUACCGGCGCCCGACUGACGCUGAGGCACGAAAGCGUGGGGAUCGAACAGGAUUAGAUACCCCUGUAGUC